UGGGGAAUAUUGGACAAUGGGGGGAACCCUGAUCCAGCCAUGCCGCGUGUGUGAAGAAGGCUUUAUGGUUGUAAAGCACUUUAAGCGAGGAGGAGGGUACUGGUAUUAAUACUACCAGCUACUGGACGUUACUCGCAGAAUAAGCACCGGCUAACUCUGUGCCAGCAGCCGCGGUAAUACAGAGGGUGCGAGCGUUAAUCGGAUUUACUGGGCGUAAAGCGUGCGUAGGCGGCUAAUUGAGUCGGAUGGGAAAUCCCCGAGCUUAACUUGGGAAUUGCAUUCGAUACUGGUUAGCUAGAGUGUGGGAGAGGAUGGUAGAAUUCCAGGUGUAGCGGUGAAAUGCGUAGAGAUCUGGAGGAAUACCGAUGGCGAAGGCAGCCAUCUGGCCUAACACUGACGCUGAGGUACGAAAGCAUGGGGAGCAAACAGG
rnacentral:rRNA from 1 species